UACGAAGGGGGCUAGCGUUGUUCGGAAUUACUGGGCGUAAAGCGCACGUAGGCGGGUCGUUAAGUUAGAGGUGAAAUCCCGGGGCUCAACCCCGGAACUGCCUUUGAUACGUGGCGAUCUAGAGGUCGAGAGAGGUGAGUGGAAUUCCGAGUGUAGAGGUGAAAUUCGUAGAUAUUCGGAAGAACACCAGUGGCGAAGGCGGCUCACUGGCUCGAUACUGACGCUGAGGUGCGAAAGCGUGGGGAGCAAACAGG
rnacentral:rRNA from 1 species